rnacentral:rRNA from 1 species
GUGUCAGCCGCCGCGGUAAUACGUAGGCAGCGAGCGUUGUUCGGAAUUACUGGGCGUAAAGAGUGCGUAGGUGGUUGACUAAGUUUGGUGUGAAAUCUCCCGGCUUAACUGGGAGGGUGCGCCGAAAACUGGUUGGCUAGAGUGUGGGAGAGGGACGUGGAAUUCCUGGUGUAGCGGUGAAAUGCGUAGAUAUCAGGAGGAACACCUGAGGUGUAGACGGCGUCCUGGACCAUUACUGACACUGAGGCACGAAAGCGUGGGUAGCAAACAGGAUUAGAAACCCUGGUAGUCC